rnacentral:tRNA from 1 species
GCUCCCGUGGUGUAGACCGGACAAGCAUACUGGCCUUUCGAGUCAGGGAUCCCGGGUUCAAAUCCCGGCGGGAGCA